GCUGGCGGCGUGCCUAACACAUGCAAGUCGAACGGGAACCCUUGGAUUCGUCUGAGGGGGAGAGUGGCGAACGGGUGAGUAACACGUAGGUGACCUGCCCCGAAGAGGGGGAUAACUGCUGGAAACGGUGGCUAAUACCCCAUGUGGUCUAUCGAUCGUACGGUAGAUUAAAGUUCCGGCGCUUCGGGAGGGGCCUGCGGCCCAUCAGGUAGUUGGUAGGGUAAUGGCCUACCAAGCCGAUGACGGGUA
rnacentral:rRNA from 1 species